UGUGGCUUUUAGUAAACAUCCGGUCCUUUAACUCGGGACUGCGUAAUAACCACGGAGCGCUUGGAAGACAAACGAUGUCAUCUUCCUUCUGUCAGGAGGAUCCAAGUGAAGCUACAGGAGUUUCAUUAACGUCAAUAACUUGGACCGAACACUUUGUUUUGCUUGAUGAAGAGCAGGAAGGGCAGCCUGGAGAGAAAGAGAAGCCGGGUUGAGCCCACUACCAUCAUCCACGUACCACGAGGAAGAUGAGGGAGAGAAAUGAUCCUACCAUUAAAGAGACUGUGAAAAGAACGUUGAGAACAUCACCACUCUACAGGAAGACACAGUCCAGUAAUGGGUGUCAGAAGUUCAGUAGUGAACGACGGAAACAAACAAUCCAAAUUACCUGCAGAAAGCCCUUGAUGGACGCUUCAGCUGCAUCGUCAGACUGGCGAGACAGCAAGGUGCCAACUUUAAUGCCAAUUUAUUUGUGUAACAUUCUGUGACCAAAUGUAUAGAUAACUUUUUGUAGAUUGUAAAAAAAGAUAACCCAUUUAUUACAAAAAAACUACACUAGAAUUACCGCACUGCGUUGUAUGACUCCGCUAACCAGUGCAGUGUCCGUCUACAUAUUUCUACAUAUUUUCUCUCGUAUAAAUGACACUGUAUCUCUUGACAACUGAAACCAUAAGAUGAGGUCAGUGUGGCCUUGACCUUUUUACUUUAAGACAAAUACAAAGUUAGACAAUCCGAAAACAUGCAGUUAUGCCAAAAUAUAUUUGGUUUCACAUUCUAGAUGGCAUAAGCAGAGACAUCAACUCAGGAAAAAUAUUUCUGUAGAAAAGAAAGCCCUGUACGUGUGUAUGUAUACAUACGUACACACGUACAAACGCACUAUUGAGACGUUUUGUUUUUUAUCAUAUAUUCUCAGG